AAUCAGUGACCACGAAUGGAUCCACACGGAUCCAGUAGAUCACAUGGACAACAAGAGGCUCUUCAACCUGCCUGUGAACUACCGGCCUCCCUCCCAACUAGGUGUUUUAAUCCCGACCACAGACAAUAUCUAUAACGCUGACCCAAGUCAUCCCCACCCCAGACAGCACUACCCCAUCUCCAAGAACUCUGGUCGGUAUAAGCAGUGUGCAGGGAAAAGGUCAG